rnacentral:lncRNA from 1 species
UGGUUGCUAGCGUGGAAGGAGUUCCGAUGGGCGGCCGUUCGGCAUGGCGCCGCCUACGGCGACCGGCGUCGAUUCCUUCCCGCUAUUCCCCUUCCUCCCAUCACCGAUCAAAUAAUAAUAAUAAUAAUAAUAAAAAGGAACAAAGGCCAGCGAUUCCCUUCUCCUGUUUCCACGGCCUGACUGCAGGCGAUCGUCCAGCAGGCGGUGCCGUCCGGGCAAUCAGGCGGCGAUCGGGACGAGGCCGCGGUGAGAGGCCGGCAAUCCCCAUCUAGAUCUAAAAAUCCAAACACAAAUAAAAAAAGAAAAAAAAAAGAAGGAUGGAGGGACGGUGGUUCCCGCCGUCGUGCCCUCUUCCCUCCCAUCAUACGGUGGCUGGACUGGUCACCGGCGGCCAUUUGGAAGAGG